GGGAGGGGCUCUAUGUUCUGGAGUGGCGCUGCUUAGUCUGGAAGCUGGGUGAGGACUGCUAGUGUCGCGUUUGAGGAGAACUGUGAGUCUGUUUGGCCUAUUCCCGUUGGUAUCCUAGCUACGAUGAGUGCUGGCCAGGAGUCUCACCUGCACGGGGAGAAACGUUGAGCCUCUCACGAUGAUGAUCUUGGAUCUAGCAAUUGGGAGGCAGCAGAUUUGGGCAAUGAAGAAAGAAAACUUCUUGAGACUUAUGGGUACAGGAAAGAAAGAACACACUGGUUGUCUUGUUAUAGGAGAUCACAAAUAAACCUCUCACUUCAGAACAGGGGAAGAAGACAAGAAAAUGAAGAGCUGGAGUCUCAGUACCAGCAGAGCAUGGACAGCAAACUCUCAGGAUCGUAGUGGGGCAGAACUGCGGCUCGAUUUCAGCGAGGUAGAAGAUCAUGAUGGAGAAAGUGAUGUGGCUGGAGAUGAUGAUGAAGACGACCUUCCUGAUGCAGUGAA
rnacentral:lncRNA from 1 species